rnacentral:rRNA from 1 species
GACGAACGCUGGCGGCGCGCUUAACACAUGCAAGUCGAACGGAAAGGCCUGCUUUCCCUUGUGGAUUGCGGGUACUCGAGUGGCGAACGGGUGAGUAACACGUGAGUGAUCUGUCCCCAACUUGGGUAUAAGCCUGGGAAACUGGGUCUAAUUCCCGAUAGGACUGCAGGGUGGUGCCUGUGGUGGAAAACGAUUUUCUAGUGGUUGGGGAUGAGCUCGCGGCCUAUCAGCUUGUUGGUGGGGUAAUGGCCUACCAAGGCGGCGACGGGUAGCCGGCCUGAGAGGGUGGACGGCCACAUUGGGACUGAGAUACGGCCCAGACUCCUACGGGAGGCAGCAGUGGGGAAUAUUGCACAAUGGGCGGAAGCCUGAUGCAGCGACGCCGCGUGGGGGAUGACGGCCUUCGGGUUAUAAACUCCUUUCGACCGCGAGGAAGCCACCUGGUUGGAAGGGUGGUGACGGUAGUGGUAGAAGAAGCACCGGCUAACUACGUG